rnacentral:Y_RNA from 1 species
GGCUGGUCCAAAGGUAGUGAGUUAUCUCAACUGAUUGUUCACAGUCUGUUACAGGCCAAACCCCUUGUUCUACUCUUUUCCCUUCUCAAUACUGCAUUUGUUUUUA